GAUGAACGCUGGCGGCGUGCUUAACACAUGCAAGUCGAACGGAAAGGCCCAAGCUUGCUUGGGUACUCGAGUGGCGAACGGGUGAGUAACACGUGGGUGAUCUGCCCUGCACUUCGGGAUAAGCCUGGGAAACUGGGUCUAAUACCGGAUAGGACCACAUUUUGGAUGGUGUGGUGGAAAGUUUUUCGGUGUGGGAUGAGCUCGCGGCCUAUCAGCUUGUUGGUGGGGUAAUGGCCUACCAAGGCGUCGACGGGUAGCCGGCCUGAGAGGGUGUACGGCCACUUUGGGCCGGAGUCCCGCCCCAGACUCCGCGGGGGGGCGGCAGGGGGAAUUAUGGCACAAGGGGCGCAGGCUGGAUCCGCCUCCGCGGGGGGGGGGAUGCCGUCCUUGGUGUUGAAAACCCCUUCCGCGAGGGACGAGGCGUUAUUUGAGGUUCCCUGAAAAAAAGCCCCCGGCUAGCUCCGUG
rnacentral:rRNA from 1 species